GAUGAACGCUGGCGGCGUGCCUAAUACAUGCAAGUCGAGCGAACGGACGAGAAGCUUGCUUCUCUGAUGUUAGCGGCGGACGGGUGAGUAACACGUGGAUAACCUACCUAUAAGACUGGGAUAACUUCGGGAAACCGGAGCUAAUACCGGAUGAUAUUUUGAACCGCAUGGUUCAAAAGUGAAAGACGGUCUUGCUGUCACUUAUAGAUGGAUCCGCGCUGCAUUAGCUAGUUGGUAAGGUAACGGCUUACCAAGGCAACGAUGCAUAGCCGACCUGAGAGGGUGAUCGGCCACACUGGAACUGAGACACGGUCCAGACUCCUACGGGAGGCAGCAGUAGGGAAUCUUCCGCAAUGGGCGAAAGCCUGACGGAGCAACGCCGCGUGAGUGAUGAAGGUCUUCGGAUCGUAAAACUCUGUUAUUAGGGAAGAACAUAUGUGUAAGUAACUGUGCACAUCUUGACGGUACCUAAUCAGAAAGCCACGGCUAACUACGUGCCAGCAGCCGCGGUAAUACGUAGGUGGCAAGCGUUAUCCGGAAUUAUUGGGCGUAAAGCGCGCGUAGGCGGUUUUUUAAGUCUGAUGUGAAAGCCCACGGCUCAACCGUGGAGGGUCAUUGGAAACUGGAAAACUUGAGUGCAGAAGAGGAAAGUGGAAUUCCAUGUGUAGCGGUGAAAUGCGCAGAGAUAUGGAGGAACACCAGUGGCGAAGGCGACUUUCUGGUCUGUAACUGACGCUGAUGUGCGAAAGCGUGGGGAUCAAACAGGAUUAGAUACCCUGGUAGUCCACGCCGUAAACGAUGAGUGCUAAGUGUUAGGGGGUUUCCGCCCCUUAGUGCUGCAGCUAACGCAUUAAGCACUCCGCCUGGGGAGUACGACCGCAAGGUUGAAACUCAAAGGAAUUGACGGGGACCCGCACAAGCGGUGGAGCAUGUGGUUUAAUUCGAAGCAACGCGAAGAACCUUACCAAAUCUUGACAUCCUUUGACAACUCUAGAGAUAGAGCUUUCCCCUUCGGGGGACAAAGUGACAGGUGGUGCAUGGUUGUCGUCAGCUCGUGUCGUGAGAUGUUGGGUUAAGUCCCGCAACGAGCGCAACCCUUAAGCUUAGUUGCCAUCAUUAAGUUGGGCACUCUAAGUUGACUGCCGGUGACAAACCGGAGGAAGGUGGGGAUGACGUCAAAUCAUCAUGCCCCUUAUGAUUUGGGCUACACACGUGCUACAAUGGACAAUACAAAGGGCAGCGAAACCGUGAGGUCAAGCAAAUCCCAUAAAGUUGUUCUCAGUUCGGAUUGUAGUCUGCAACUCGACUACAUGAAGCUGGAAUCGCUAGUAAUCGUAGAUCAGCAUGCUACGGUGAAUACGUUCCCGGGUCU
rnacentral:rRNA from 1 species